GAAAAUGUUUGCAUAUGUGGAGUAUAUGGGUAGGUCUAUGAUGCUUGAAAACAUUUAUAUGCUUUUUUUAAAUCACCUAAGUUUUCAAACAAUUGGAUUGUCUUGUCUAUAACAUAAUAUAGUGUAAGAAUCUAUUUACUUAUCACAAAAGGGAAGAAAGUAUCUAGAUAAGCUUUCUGGUCAUAUGUUUAUUCUUGCAUCAAGUUUUAAUGUUCCUUUCUUGAAUAAGGAGUUGGAAAUGCAUCCUUGACACAUACAUACUUAAAUACAUAGUUAUUAAAAGCUUAAGGCGCACUAAGGUGCCAAAGGGUUCUGGAGUCUAGGCACAAGG
rnacentral:misc_RNA from 1 species